UACGUAGGGGGCAAGCGUUGUUCGGAAUUACUGGGCGUAAAGGGCGCGUAGGCGGCAUGGCAAGUCAGGAGUGAAAGGCCUGGGCUCAACCGAGGAACUGCUUUUGAUACUGCCAAGCUAGAGUGCGGAAGGGGCAACUGGAAUUCCCAGUGUAGCGGUGAAAUGCGUAGAUAUUGGGAAGAACACCGGUGGCGAAGGCGACAUCCUGGACCGGUAUUGACGCUGAGGCGCGAAAGCCAGGGGAGCAAAGCAGG
rnacentral:rRNA from 1 species